rnacentral:rRNA from 1 species
GUGGGGAAUCUUCCGCAAUGGACGAAAGUCUGACGGAGCAACGCCGCGUGAGUGAUGACGGCCUUCGGGUUGUAAAGCUCUGUGAUCGGGGACGAAUGGCUGGUAUGCUAAUACCAUAUCAGAGUGACGGUACCCGAAUAGCAAGCCACGGCUAACUACGUGCCAGCAGCCGCGGUAAUACGUAGGUGGCAAGCGUUGUCCGGAAUUAUUGGGCGUAAAGCGCGCGCAGGCGGCUUCUUAAGUCCAUCUUAAAAGUGCGGGGCUUAAACCCGUAAUGAGAUGGAAACUGGGAGGCUGGAGUAUCGGAGAGGAAAGUGGAAUUCCUAGUGUAGCGGUGAAAUGCGUAGAGAUUAGGAAGAACACCGGUGGCGAAGGCGACUUUCUGGACGACAACUGACGCUGAGGCGCGAAAGCGUGGGGAGCAAACAGGAUUAGAAACCCGGGUAGUCC